rnacentral:rRNA from 1 species
UACAGAGGAUGCAAGCGGUUAUCCGGAAUGAUUGGGCGUAAAGCGUCUGUAGGUGGCUUUUUAAGUCCGCCGUCAAAUCCCAGGGCUCAACUCUGGACAGGCGGUGGAAACUACCAAGCUGGAGUACGGUAGGGGCAGAGGGAAUUUCCGGUGGAGCGGUGAAAUGCGUAGGAGAUCGGAAAGACACCAACGGCGAAAGCACUCUGCUGGGCCGACACUGACACUGGAGAGACGAAAGCUAGGGGAGCGAAUGGG